rnacentral:tRNA from 1 species
GGCCGCGUAGCUCAGUUGGCUAGAGCGUUGACUACUAGAACCGUCACCUUGCUGGCGUGGGUUCGAAUCCCACCGAAGACA